CCUACGGGAGGCUGCAGUGGGGAAUAUUCCACAAUGGAGGGAACUCUGAUGCAGCGACGCCGCGUGAGUGAAGAAGUAAUUCGUUAUGUAAAGCCCUAUCAGUAGGGAAGAAAGUGACGGUACCUGAAAAAGAAGCUCCGGCUACAUACGUGCCAGCAGCCGCGGUAAUACGUAUGGAGCAAGCGUUAUCCGGAUUGACUGGGUGUAAAGGGAGAGUAGGUGGCAGAGCAAGUACGAGGUGAAAACCCAAAGCUCAACUAUGGGAAUGCUUAAGAAACUGCUCAACUAGAGUGCAGGAGAGGCAAGUGGAAUUCUUGGUGUAGCAGUGAAAUGCGUAGAUAUUAGGAGGAACACCAGUGGCGAAGGCGGGUUGCUGGACUGUAACUGACACUGAGGCUCGAAGGCGUGGGGAGCGAACAGGAUUAGAUACCCUUGUAGUC
rnacentral:rRNA from 1 species